rnacentral:rRNA from 1 species
GACAGAGGGUGCAAACGUUGUUCGGAAUUACUGGGCGGAAAGCGUGUGUAGGCGGCUACGCAAGUCGGAUGUGAAAGCCCCGGGCUCAACCCGGGAAGUGCACCCGAAACUGCGUGGCUCGAGUACCGGAGAGGUUGGUGGAAUUCUCGGUGUAGAGGUGAAAUUCGUAGAUAUCGAGAGGAACACCGGUGGCGAAGGCGGCCAACUGGACGAGUACUGACGCUGAGACACGAAAGCGUGGGGAGCAAACAGG